GAGGUACUACCUCCGUCCUGAAUUACUUGUCGAAAAAAUGAAUAGAAAUGGAUGUAUUUAGAAAUAAAAUACAUCUAGAUACAUCCAUUCCUUAGACAAGUAUUUCUGGACGGAGGGAGUAUUAA
rnacentral:pre_miRNA from 1 species